UAAAGCGGCCGGUCUCCACUAUGUGGGUGUAUCUGGUUCGGUUUGGGCAUCCUCUUGGGGAACGGUUCUGCGCUUGAUUGCGCGGGCCGGAAUUCAAGACUUUUACUUUGAGGAAAUUAGAGUGUUCACGGCAAGCUAUCGCUUUGAAUAUGUUAGCAUGGAAUAAUAAUAUAGGGCGUGAGUUCUAUUUUGUUGGCUUCUAGGAUUUACGCAAUGAUUAAUAGGGACAAUUGGGGGCAUUUGUAUUAAGGCGUCAGAGGUGGAAUUCUUAGAUUGCCUUACGACAAACUACUGCGAAAGCAUUUGCCAAGGAUGUUUUCAUUGAUCAAGAACGAAAGUAUCGGGGAUCGAAAACGAUUAGAUACCGUUGUAGUCUAUACCCAUAAACUAUGCCAA
rnacentral:rRNA from 1 species